GCGCUACGAGCAGCUGCGGCAGCUGCACCACCUCAGCUAUGGUAUCUUGGCGCAGGAAAAGACCGCCGUUGCUGUCGGCAGUGGCGCC
rnacentral:tRNA from 1 species